GCAUGGUUGUCGUCAGCUCGUGCCGUGAGGUGUCGGCUAAGUGCCAUAACGAGCGCAACCUCCAUCAUUAGUUACCAUCAGGUAAGGCUGGGGACUCUAAUGAGACUGCCAUCGUAAGAUGUGAGGAAGGUGGGGAUGACGUCAAAUCAGCACGGCCCUUACGUCCGGGGCGACACACGUGUUACAAUGGGUGGUACAAAGGGCAGCUACCUGGCGACAGGAUGCUAAUCUCGAAAACCGCUCUCAGUUCGGAUCGGAGUCUGCAACUCGACUCCGUGAAGCUGGAUUCGCUAGUAAUCGCGCACCAGCCACGGCGCGGUGAAUACGUUCCCGGGCCUU
rnacentral:rRNA from 1 species